UAAUACCCUUGUACCUCUGACUCAUCAUCUAUGUCAUCCACAAUACUUAAUUCAUUAUGUAUUACAUUUCUAUUUCCCAUUCUUUCAUUAGUUGUGCAGGUAUUAUCAUUUAAUUCAAGCCCUUCUAACCGAACUUCUUUCCCUAUAGGUAAUAGAUGCUGCCUGUGAUAUGUCAGUAUCCUGUUUUCUCCUGACUCAGGCUUGAUCUUAUAUACAGUUCUUCAAUCAACGUCCAGCAACAGCAGAUGCACAACGGUACUGCUCUGAGUGCUCCCCCGACUCCUCCUCUGAUCAGCAACUGUCAGGCAGGCUCCGCCCCUCUACUGCUUAUUGGGCCUCUGCUUCUGCUCUGCCUCUAGAGGGAAGGGUAAGCUAAUUCUGCCGUUGGCGUCAGUGUUGCCAUGGCGCCAUGCCAUCACCUCCGAUGGAUCCAGCCUUGCACCGCCGCUCACCCGAACAUCACCGUCGGCACAACACCACAGCGGCGGCUCCUGGCGCGAUCUCCGCCUCUCCACCUGACACCUCAGCGAUAACAAGGCCUUCUUUAUGGAACAUCGUAAACGGAAAGCCCGCCUCCCCACGCUGGAAAUUGUUGCUACCGAGAAAUGUUAAAAAUAAAGACUUGUGUCCCCCCAAAUUCCUCGAACGUCUGAGAAUAUGCCAGAGGCGAUAGACUGACCACAGAAGGGGAUUGUCCUUCAACUCUUGGUCAAAUUCCGCUUCUACACCAUAUAGGAAAUUUAUCAGAUUUUUUGUUUUUACAAAUUGUGCUUCCAAAUGUGUAUUAGCAUAAGUAUCUUGAUCAGUUUACCAGUCUCUUA